GACGUUUGCUAUAAAGGCUAGUUGGGGUAUAAACAUUUUCUAAUAGCCACUUUGUCUAUUAUGAGUAGCAGACAUACAUUUUUAUUGAAAAUCACUGACAAGGGGUCCUCUUUCCUCUUUAUACCAGGUGUUUCUAUAUUGAUGAUAACUGACAGCAUUCUGAUGGUUGAUCAAAGCUUUCAAACUAUGCUUCAACAUAAUGCCUGAAUGAAAGAAACGGGUGGAAGAAACCUGAGCACUUCCUUCACAACGCAGUCAACAUAACGCAACUGCGUCAGCUUCUCCAAGCUCAAGGUGUUUCAGCAGCUGAAGAAUGAGGGACGUAGAUGCGCUGGCUGUUGUAGAGUGGGCAGCGAAAAUCAACUCCACUGCAGUCUCCUGGUAAUGGCAAAUAAUGGGUGAAUGGCGCUUAACAUGUAGUCAAAGGCGUCGCAGUACUCCUCCGAAUGCUGCUUCUGAAGCUUCUCCUCAAUAAUCUUCUCAAUGGAUGCAUGGAGUAUUUCCCUAGCUUUGAUACCCUAUGGAAGUA